rnacentral:misc_RNA from 1 species
CGCAACUGUAUGCAUUUAUAUAUUAGGAAGACCGAUCAAAUUUCCCUCUUUUGGCUCGCUUGCUCGUUCGCAGUAGCUUUUAUUAUGUGGAAUUCGGUUGUAUAGCAACAAUGUCCUCGUCAUCAAUGCGGCAACUCGACUUGGAGGCGUGUCCUACUACAAAGGAUUUCGUCCUCAACCAUGAAGAUGAGCACCACCAACAACCGCUCGAAAAUGAAUCUGAUCCCUUUGAUAUUGCUCAUACCAAGAAUGCUCCUCAUAAGACUCUCAGGCGCUGGAGGCAAGCUGCGCUUGUGCUAAAUGCUUCCCGUCGGUUUCGGUACACUUUGGACUUAAAAAAGGAAGAAGAGAAAGAACAAAGAAGAAGGAUGAUUAGAGCUCAUGCGCAAGUCAUAAGAGCAGCAUUACUUUUCAAAUUGGCUGGGGAGCGACAAAUUGUGAUAGGUCCCAUAGUUGCAGAUACAAUUCCUAGUGGUGAUUAUGCAAUUGGGCUAGAACAACUAGCUUCAAUGACCAGGGAUCAUAAGCUUUCAUCCUUACAACAGUAUGGAGGUGCAAAAGGGUUAUGUAAGAUGUUGAAAACAAAUUUGGAGAGUGGAAUCAAUGGAGAUGAGGAUGAUUUAAUAAAGCGUCGGAAUGCAUUUGGAGCAAAUACUUAUCCCCAGAAAAAAGGACGGAGUUUCUUGAGGUUCCUUUGGGAAGCUUGGCAAGAUCUUACUUUGAUCAUAUUGAUGGUGGCUGCUGUGGCUUCUUUGGU